AGUUUUGCUCUUGUUGCCCAUGCAGGAGUGCAAUGGUGCAAUCUCGGCUCACUGCAACCUCUGCCUCCUGGGUUCAAGCGAUUCUCCUACCUCAGCCUCCUGAGUAGCUGGGACUACAGGUACCCAUCCACACCGGUAUUUUUUUUUUUUCUUUUUUUGGUAUUUUCAGUAGAGAUGGGGAUUUCACCAUGUUGGUGAAGCUGGUCUCGAACUCCUGACCUCAAGUUAUCCACCUGCCUCGACCUCCAAAAGUGCUGUGAUUAUAGGCAUGAGCCAUCGUGCCCAGCCAAUACUGCGCUUUCACAAAUCCAAGCUGCAUGAAACAGAAAGAGCAUUAUAUUGCCUUCUGGUGAUGGGUCAGUCUAUCUCUGUGAAUCUAGUCAUAAAAGCAUAGAAAUUCAGAGCUGAAAGGGACUUCAGAGAUCAUCUUGUCAACUCUUUCAGUUUAAAGGUGAAGAAAGCAAGACCCAGAGAAAACUAAAGAUUUGCCCAAGGCUACAGAACUAGUUACAAGGAACCUGGGCCUGUCCUUUUUCCCCUAUCACACAGUGUAGUAACAGAGUCCUAUGGCACCUGACAUACCCAGUGUUUCUUCCAUCCCAGUAUUUUACCAAUGAUACUGUUGCUAUUUAGCGUUCUAUAAGAAAUUCCCGAGAAAGAAGAAGAUGCUCUUGAUCUUCUUUUCAGAGUGAUACAGAUUGUGCCAAAGCCCCCAACUCACCUAUUCCAUAGCAGGAGGCACAAGCCAAUGUACAACAAAUCCCUGAACACAACACAGAAAAAAGAAGAAAAACCACCCUAUCGUGAUCUCAAAGAAAGUAGGGUCAAAGAUCUGAUGGGCACCGUUGACCACAAACCCUUUGAUGUAUAAUGCUUAAGACAGAUAGUGUGUCACUUUCAUAAGUAAAGCAAGCACAAAAAAUGUCAAAUUCUGCUUCAAGGGCAAUGAGCCUCCCAACAGGACUGAUUAGGGGAGAAGCCCACCCAUCCUUUCUAUUUUCCUCUUCAUUGAACUUGUGCAAUAUAUUUCCAUAAAUGUCUUAGUGGCCAGAACUUUCAAGGGCAAGAACUUUUUAAAUAACUUUCCAUUAUAUAAAUAAUAGGCAACAAUUAUAGAAAACUUGGAAAAUACAGAACAUUAUACAGAAGAAAACAAAAGAGAUCUAUCUACCAUCUGUAGACAAAUUCUGUUAAUUUUUCAAUAUAUCUCACCACUGUUUCUUCUAGGCAUGCAUAUGCACAAUAUUUUUCAAAUAAAUUGACCUCACAUCAUUACACAUUGCUUUGUAGUCUGCUUUUUCCCCUACACAUUACAAUUUAUUAAGAAUAUAUAUAUUUUUGCAAGUGGUUCUCAAACUUUAGUGAGCAUCAGAAUCACCUGGAAAGGCUUGUUAAAACACAGAGUGCUGAAUCUCAAUCCCAGUUUCUGAUGUGGUGGCUUUAGGGCAGAGAUCCAUAAUUUGCAUUUCUAAUAAGUUUUCAGGAGAUAUUAUUGAUGGUGUUGGUCUGGGAAACACACUUUGAGAACCAAAGUUGUACCUUAACAUAAUUUUUUAAAUGGCUAUAUUCUUUUGAGCAGAUGUGGCAUACAAUAGACAUUAGGACUUUUUCCAAUUUUUCACUGUUAUAAAUAAUACUGUAAUAAAUAUUUACAUUUUACAUAACUCUGUUUCUUUUUUAAAAAAUGGCUUUAUUGAGGUAUAUUUCACAUACCAUAAAAAUCCACCUAUUUUAAAUAUGCAAUUCGUUAUUUCUUGAACAUAAAUUCUAAAAAGAAGAAUUGCUGGGUGGGUCAAAGAUUACGAAUAUUUUUAAGGUUUUUGAUACAUAUCGACAAAUUGUCCUCUGAGGUUAUACAUAAUUACGCUCUCACAGCAGAGUACCAGAGUCUCAUUUUCUGAUUUCCUGGGGGCAACCCAGGGUAUUAUAAUUUUAAAAACAGCGUUACCAAUUUUAAAGGAGAAAAACAGUAUCACAUUGUUGCUUUUAUUUGUAUUUCUUUGACAUCAAUUGAGGUUGAAUAUUUCCCUCAUAUAUUUAUUUGACAUUAGUAUUUAUGAUUUUGUAAAUUGCUCUGCCUUAGGCAGGAUAUUUGUGCAGGUAUCAUGCACAGCACAAGACCAUGAGGGCAUAGUCAUCUUAAGGACAGACUAAUGCACAUAGAGAAUAUCCUUUGUAAAAUAUCAUUUCCCCACUAUUCUCAUUGAAUGCCAGCAUUUCUCUCUCUCUGUCUGUUUCUCUCUCUGCCUGUCUCUCCCUCUCUGUCUCUCUCUCUCUCUCUUAUUCUCUCUCUCUCUCACACACACACACCCCACAUUAUGAAGGACUUUCAGGCUGUGGGAAGCCCCAGGGAUUGCAAAAACAUGCUAGACUAAAAACUCCCAAGUGAAUUGAGUGAGUCAGUUUCCUGCAAAUAGCCAACUGAAUUUAAAGGAUAAGAGUGAUCAUGUUUGUUUAGUUAAUUUUGAAAGAAAGUGGUUAUUUUCGUUAAGUUAAAUAGUUUUCUUAUUGUUUCCACUCUGCUCUGAGGGUGUGCAGACUAUCUGAUAGACGUUCCCCUAGCACAGUGGAAGUUAGAAGAAAGAGGACCCACCGAGACAGCUGUAAUUGCUGAUGUUUGAAGUUUCCUAACUUUCCGCCACAGAAGGCUUAAGGUCGAAUAUCAAUAGCUAAAGCAUCGGUGAAGAAUUCUGCAUUAUGAGAUGGAGUCUAGCUCUGUCACCAGGCUGGAAUGCAGUUGCGUGAUCUCAGCUCACUGCAACCUCUACCUCCCGGGUUCAAGCAAUUCUCCUGCCUCAGCCUCCUGAGUAGCUGGGACUACAGGUACGUGCCACCACGCCUAGAUAAUUUUUGUAUUUUUAGUAGAGACGGGGUUUCAUCGUGUUGGCCAGGAUGGUCUCAAUCUCUUGACCUCGUGAUCUGCCCGUCUUGGCCUCCCAAAGUAUUGGGAUUGCAGGCGUGGGCCACCGCGCCCGACCCGUAAAACUUUAUUCUUCUAGUGUUACCUAAUGUGGAGCAACAUCUCUGGUUCUGAGUUAUUUGCUGUACAUUGUACAGAGGGCUCCACAAUAAAAAUGCCUUCUGUUUGUCGGUUUCAAGAGGAUACAGGUUCAGAGAAUGCACAGCAUCGCAUGGUCCCUUUCCACUGGUUCGGGGCACAUCAUGCGCUACAGUGCACCUGCCCAGCAUUGUGCUCACAUUCUACAUUCCAAUGUCCACUUGGGUGGUAUUUUCCAACCUUUUCACAAACAAGGGAAUCCCAGCCUUUUAUUAUUUCUCCCUCCUCUGCCCAUAUCAUGGGAAUUUUUCUUCCAAAUUGCAUUAAUAAGUAAUUAAUGGAAUUUAAAAAUUAAUCAGACACAGAUAAUGGCUAAUCGAUGCUUCUCAUCUUCACCAGAGUACCAGUGUAAUUAUUUUUAUCAUUCCAGUGAAAAGCAGAGAAAAUUGGCCUCUCAGUGAGUUUAUUCAGUCUUAUCACAGAUACAGUUUGCUUUCUGAUAAGCUUUUUAGAAAAUUGAAGGUAGCUCAAAGAACCUCGAUUAUUCCUUGAACACUACAUUUUGACAGGAAGCUAAGCAAGACGAGAGUAGAUUCUAUUCCUUCACAAAGAAGGGGUAGAUGUUUGGUGCGUGGAUUAUCAGGCAGCAAAGGACAGAAGAAUGUCUUGGCUAAUGCAUGGGGCUGGAAGCUGUGGAGAGAAAGGAUGAGGGAGAAGGGUGGCUUCUGUAUGUAGAUUCUACUUUUUUGUUUUGAGAUGGAGUCUUGCUCUGUUGCCCAGGCUGGAGUGCAGUGGCACGAUCUCGGCUCACUGCAAGCUCCGCCUCCUGGGUUCACGCCAUUCUCCUGCCUCAGCCUCCCGAGUAGCUGGGACUACAGGUGACCGCCACCACGCCUGUCUAAUUUUUUGUAUUUUUAGUAGAGAUGGGGUUUCACCAUGUUAGCCAGGAUGGUCUUGAUCUUCUGACCUCAAAUGAUCUGCCCACCUCGGCCUCCCAAAGUGCUGGGAUGACAGGCGUGAGCCAACCUGCCUGGCCUCUACAUUUUUUUUUUUUUUUUUAACUACUGGUGAGGAGGUGCAGACUAGUUGAGCCCUGGGUUCCCAUUUGUCUUUCCUCUCUCUCACCUCUGCCUCUUUUCUUUUUCAUUUCCUACUGUCUCCAAGGUAAUUGAUGGUGGGACCAGAAAGAGGAUGCAGUAAAAACCACUGGAGGGAAGAGUGAACUGGGCUAUCAGAUUGUAUGUGAGCUGAGAAGAAUACACACUCUUCAUUGUCUACGAUUAUUAUCUAACGGUGAUAUGUCAUCGCCUUAUUGCAUAUGUGUUAUACCUCCCCAAGACCGGGCACGUUCUUCUCUGCCUUAUUCCCCUCAUGCUUCAAGACUCCAUCCAGUCUGGGUAGGUGCUCCUCUUCUGUGUUCAGGAUAUUGUAUUUAAUUAUUGGUUUAUUUUUCCAACCUUCCCACUCCACUCUGCAAUCCAAUGAGGGCAUCUCUAUUCCCAGGGCCCCAGUAAAAUGCUUGCACAUGAUUCGUGUUCAAUAAAUACAUUUUUAAUAUAUUAAUGAAAA